rnacentral:rRNA from 1 species
CGUAGGGCGCGAGCGUUGUCCGGAAUUAUUGGGCGUAAAGAGCUCGUAGGCGGCUUGUCACGUCGGGUGUGAAAGCCCGGGGCUUAACCCCGGGUCUGCAUUCGAUACGGGCUAGCUAGAGUGUGGUAGGGGAGAUCGGAAUUCCUGGUGUAGCGGUGAAAUGCGCAGAUAUCAGGAGGAACACCGGUGGCGAAGGCGGAUCUCUGGGCCAUUACUGACGCUGAGGAGCGAAAGCGUGGGGAGCGAACAGGAUUAGAUACCCUGGUAGUCCACGCCGUAAACGGUGGGAACUAGGUGUUGGCGACAUUCCUCGUCGUCGGUGCCGCAGCUAACGCAUUAAGUUCCCCGCCUGGGGAGUACGGCCGCAAGGCUA